UAAUAAUAAUACAUAAUUAAUAUACAGCGCCGCCACUCCCACCACGCGCAUCACGCGCUGUGCGUCCACCCAUUCUCACUCCCAAAGCGUCAAAAACUGAAGCUUGGUCAAGCGCCUCUAGCGUCACUGACAUGAGAUGUUUAUCGCUAUGAAAUCACGUUCAAGAAGUCUCAUUCAGCACACAUCGCGAUACUUGCCAUCAGUUUACAAGAGCCGCAGGUUGGGUGAGUUAUACAGUCUAUGCUGAAAAGACGUAAAGGAAGCAGUCACCCCAGUGGUGUUUGUGGAGAGGUAUUCCUUCAGAAAUGGAGAAGACAGAAAGCUGCAGAGGCAGGAUUGCUUGCAGAUAACACUGUAGUUCUCCAUCAUGCACAAGGACUCACCUCUUUAACCCUUUACCCCCCCCCCCCCCCCCCCCCCCCCAAACACACACAGAAAUGGUUUCUGGAUCAGUGACUUUAGACUUUGCAGUGGUUUGAUUUAUGCAGAAGAUGUAACUUUGUUUUAAUUAAUCUUAUAAUGAAUACAUUGUGACCUUCCAGCAACCCAUAUACUGUACUGUAUACAUAACCAGUGAUGACAACAAUAGUUAAAAAUAGUAUUUAUCAUAUUGAUAAAGCAUUGUGUUCUCUUUUUCAAGCUUCAUAGAGUAAACUUUACUUCUGGUGCUUUUAUCAUAAAAAAAGCAUUAGUUCUCAUCAGGAGUUUUAGUAAAGGACAUAUUCAUGCACAGCCAUCCCCUAGUUCCAGUCAUGAAGUGAAUGAUGUUAUUGUUAAAGUUAUAUUUCUGCAUUUUUAUGUAGCAGGUGUUUGUUUUCCUGAACACUUUAUCUUUCUUCCAUUGUUCGGACAAUCAGUGUUUAUUUGAUGCUGUGCUGAUUGGGUUUUAUAGAUGAUAUUGCACACUUGACAUGCUUGUCUUCAUGAUGUUAUUUUGUGAGUUUGAAACAUUUACAUUGUGUUGUAUCACUUUUUGGUCAAUAGAAUUUUUAAAGAAAAUC